rnacentral:rRNA from 1 species
ACGGGGGGAGCAAGCGUUGUUCGGAUUUACUGGGCGUAAAGGGCGCGUAGGCGGCCACCGCAAGUCGACUGUGAAAUCUCCGGGCUUAACCCGGAAAGGUCAGCCGAUACUGCGGGGCUAGAGUGCAGAAGGGGCAACUGGAAUUCUCGGUGUAGCGGUGAAAUGCGUAGAUAUCGGGAGGAACACCAGUGGCGAAGGCGGCCACCUGGACGGUAACUGACGCUGAGGCACGACAGCUGGGGGAGCAAACAGGA